CCUACGGGGAGCAGCAGUGGGGGAUAUUGCACAAUGGGGGAAACCCUGAUGCAGCGACGCCGCGUGGGUGAAGAAGCGCCUCGGCGCGUAAAGCCCUGUCAGCAGGGAAGAAAAUGACGGUACCUGAAGAAGAAGCCCCGGCUAACUACGUGCCAGCAGCCGCGGUAAUACGUAGGGGGCAAGCGUUAUCCGGAUUUACUGGGUGUAAAGGGGGCGCAGACGGCGAUGCAAGCCAGGAGUGAAAGCCCGGGGCCCAACCCCGGGACUGCUCUUGGAACUGCGUGGCUAGAGUGCAGGAGGGGCAGGCGGAAGUCCUGGUGUAGCGGUGAAAUGCGUAGAGAUCAGGAGGAACACCGGUGGCGAAGGCGGCCUGCUGGACUGCAACUGACGUUGAGGCCCGAAAGCGUGGGGAGCAAACAGGAUUAGAUACCCUUGUAGUC
rnacentral:rRNA from 1 species